UAGGUUAAAAUUGGCACAUAACAGGUUUGU
rnacentral:piRNA from 1 species